rnacentral:rRNA from 1 species
UGCGUAGGUGGCAGUGCAAGUCAGAUGUGAAAGGCCGGGGCUCGACCCCGGAGCUGCAUUUGAAACUGCUCGGCUAGAGUACAGGAGAGGCAGGCGGAAUUCCUAGUGUAGCGGUGAAAUGCGUAGAUAUUAGGAGGAACACCAGUGGCGAAGGCGGCCUGCUGGACUGUUACUGACACUGAGGCAAGCUGGGGAGCAAACA